AUUGAACGCUGGCGGCAGGCCUAACACAUGCAAGUCGAACGAGUGGCGGACGGGUGAGUAAUGUCUGGGAAACUGCCUGAGGGAGGGGGCUAGAUACUGGAAACGGUAGCUAAUACCGCAUACCAUCGGAUGUGCCCAGAUGGGAUUAGCUUGUUGGUGGGGUAACGGCUCACCAAGGGGACGAUCCCUAGCUGGUCUGAGAGGAUGACCAGCAACACUGGAACUGAGACACGGUCCAGACGCCUACGGGAGGGAGCAGUGGGUAAUAUUGCACAAUGGGCGCAAGCAUUAUGCAGCCAUGCAGCGUGUAUGAAGAAGGCCUUCGGGUUGGAAAGUACUUUCAGCGGGGAGGCGUUACCCGCAGAAGAAGCACCGGCUAACUCCGUGCCAGCAGCCGCGGUAAUAC
rnacentral:rRNA from 1 species